rnacentral:rRNA from 1 species
GUCUAUGAGGUUUAUUUUUUAGUCUGUUCUGCUCACUGUUUAUAUAAAGAGCCGCAGUAUAUUGACUGUGUGAAGGUAGCAUAAUCAUUAGCUUUUUAAAUGGGGGCUUGUAUGAAAGAGUGGAUGAUAGUUUUUCUUUUUUAUUAUUUGGUUUAAUUUAAAUUUAAGUAAUAAUUCUUAAAUGAAUUUAGGGGACGAGAAGACCCUUUAGAUUUUUACUUCUUAUUAUUUACCUUUAAAUAAGAUGUUUAAUUGGGGUGAUUUUUUGAAAUUAACAACUUAAUUUUUGUUAACCAGCAAUAAAUGAAUAUAUUUGAUGAAGAAUUUUUUAUAUAAGAUUAAAAUACCUAAGGGAUAACAGCGUUAUUUUAUUUAAGAGUUCAUAUUUAUAGUAAAGAUUGCGACCUCGAUGUUGAAUUAAGAAGUUUAUUGGUGCAGGAGUUGAUGAUUGAUUAGUCUGUUCGACUAUUAAAUUCU